rnacentral:lncRNA from 1 species
UUGCUAUCAAGACGAUAGCAACAUCCAAUCAACAUUUAAAUUAGACACAAAACAAGGUGUCGAAGCUUUACUUACCAGAAUAGCGACGAGAACCAAACCACGAGAACAAUCAACAAUAGAAAAAUGGAAUGACAGAAUGGAGGAGACAAGAAUCGGCAAUAUGAAGGGAGGAAAAAAAAAAAGAAUCGGCUUACGGAUCAAUAAUUCGGUAGCAACCUAUAGGAACAGAAAGGAGGUGACCGCAGGAAAAAGAAGAAAAAAGAUGGGUAGGGAAGUGUGCAAAACUGAAAAAAGAAAAGAAAGAAGAAAAAAUAAAAAGAAGUAGCAGAAAUUCACUAGCAAUAUUCACUAGCAGAAACAAAAGCUAAAGCCGAAUUUUGGGAAAGGAAUCAGUUUCGGCACCACUAUUGAUCACCUCCCUUGAUCCACUCCUCAAAACUCUCCUACUAUCCCUCCACAAACCGUCCACUUCCCACCACACCUCAAAUUCCUUAUUUUCCUCCACUAAACCAACAACUACUGAAAUCUCCCUCAUUAUCCUCCUAAAAAUCAGCCAUAACCUCCCCACACUCCUCAAAUACUCAAAAUUUAGAUCAAACUACAACACCUACAUAGCACAAGCAGUAAAAAUAAAUCCC